GCAGGAGAAAGUGUUGAUGAUGACGUUGGAGGACUGACAGUCUCACUCGCUCUCUUAUAGAGAAGUAAAAUGGUGCAGGCACUGUGGGAUGUUGGAGGACUGACAGUCUCACUUGCUCUUAUAGAGAUGUAAAAUGGUGCAGGCACUGUGAGAAUCAGGCAGGCACAUUAACAUACAACCAGCAAUCUCACCUGUGGGUUACCCAAAUGAAAUGAAAAGCCAUCUUUAUAUGGAUGAUUACAGAGCUCUAAUAAACACAUAAUUUACAAAUAAUAUAGGUAUCAAGUGGAGCCAGACAUGGACUCGUAGGGCUGUCAUCCCAGCAAUCAAGAGUCUAAGGCAAAAGAGUGAGGAGUUUGAGCCCACAUUGGGCUACUUAGUAAGAUAGUUGGUUUUUUGUUUCUUUUUCUUUUAAUUUCAUUUAAUCCUUUUUUUUUCACUCCAGAUUUUAUCCCCCUCCCGAUCCAUCCUCUGACUGUUCUCCAUCCUAUGCCUCCUUCCCAACUCCCUGUCUCCAUGAGGAUGUCUCCACCCCAC
rnacentral:lncRNA from 1 species